rnacentral:rRNA from 1 species
UACGUAGGGGGCGAGCGUUGUCCGGAUUUAUUGGGCGUAAAGCGCUCGCAGGUGGUCCGCUGCGUCGUGCGUGAAAUCCCUCGGCUCAACUGAGGAACUGCACAGGAAACUGCUUAGCUUGAGUUCGGGAGAGGGAAGCGGAAUUCCGGGUGUAGCGGUGAAAUGCGUAGAUAUCCGGAGGAACACCUGUGGCGAAGGCGGCUUCCUGGACCGACACUGACGCUGAGGCGCGAAAGCUAGGGGAGCAAACGGG